CCGCAGCUGGACUCCACCGAGGACAGACGGUCCACGAUGCUGGAGAGGCACUCCAGACUGGAGGCUCCGACUGUCUUAUCGCACAAACUCUCUGAUAAGAGGAAGACAAAGUCAGGAUGUAAAUACAGGGAUCAUUUUAAAUUGUUCUCCUCCAGAAGACCGAAAGAGGCUUUUGCAGUUCGACCCUGACGAGUUUAGGUAAUGAUGCUGUUGACAGCUUACAAGGAUACAAUGCGGAUAUUUCUCACAAUGUGUCAAAACGUUUGGCGAGCCCCCUUCUCUGGGAACUGUGCGCACCUAAGAAAACACUAGUACCUGCUGCCUCUGAAUUGCCGUCGGAGUUUGGAUUAGGCACAGCUGAAGAAGACAUCGGCUCGCCUGCGCUUGUAGCCGCUGAGAAGAUCAAAGGCUGGUAAAGCUGAGAACAACGAGGGACAAUGAGAAAACCUUGUAUCAACCGAUAGCUAAUUGAGGCUGGAGUUAGAUUGGCGCAGCACAUGGUGUUAUUGGGAGCACACUGGAGCUUAUAUUGGCGCAGACAUUGCGCGCAGGCCGUGCUCUGUGAUCUGUGCGCUCGGCUGGUCUCUUGGGAACUCUCUUGAGUUUGCUUUUUUGUUGUUCUCAAGGGUCAGAGACAGAGUUAAGUGAAGGGCAGGAGGUGAUCUUUUAUGUCCAUCUUCCUCACGUCUGAAAACCUUAUUUCUUCUAAAGUGUGUCAUGCUUUGACUUAAUAUGCUGCUUGUUUGGUGCAACACAAGAACCCUGACAGAGAGGCAAUUCAUCACUUACAUUCCUGUAAAAUAGAUACCUCUUUAAAGCCCAUAUUUAAUUCUACUUUCAUAUUUAAGUAUAUUUUAACAGCCAAAAUACUGUUGGUGAAAUUUGAUUAGGGGAAAUCAGUUUUGUGAGUAAAUAAAGUUUAAUACAAAAAUAAAGGUGCAUUCUUUUGCAAAACUCAGUGGCUUCUUGUUAAAGGCUAUUUCACCCCCACAUAAAGUCCAAGUCCAUUUUACAGUCCCCACAAGAAUUAGUGAAACAAAAAAACAUUUUGAGUGGCAACGCCAUUUGUUUGGCAGUGAGCAGAAAGAGGUGCACUGCCAGUCCUGCUGCAGUGAAUCCUUUUCCUAGCAGGAUAUUCAAGGAAAGUCUGGAUAAAUCAGAGCACUCAGGCUCCAGGCUUAUCCCCUUCCCCCCCACCCUCUUCCUAUACCAGCUCGCCUUUCAUCAGCUUUGACUUUUAAAACACUGCCUUCACAGCCAAAUGAGAAUUAUAUGGUGUCAUCAGUAACACCGAAAUCCCUGUAAAGUUAGACAAGAAAGAGUCGGGGCUCUGAGACGGUUCUGCUUCUUUGUGGGGAGUGCAUGCUUAAAAUAAGACAGUAAUGUUCCAAACACAGCUGGAUAGCUUUAUAGCAAACACUUCUAAUAGCACAAAAUGCAGGUUUAUAUAGAGUAUUUCAACUAAAUAUUUGCAUUUUUAGACAGUAAUAAGUGCACACAUUUAACCAAACAACUCUUUCUCUUACACAAAUUGUUAUUGUUGAUUUUGUUGGUCAAAUGAAGUCAUUACCAAACAGACAUUAAAUUAGCAGAUACCCAUGGAGCUGUAAAAUGUAGUGAAGUAACACAACUGAGUGAGUGAGCAAGAACCCAUUAAAAUCACAUUAGUGUUUGGAGAUAUCAUGUUUCUGUCUGGUUCCUACAGAAAACAGGAUAUUUGGUAAAAGAUAUGAAUGGUUCUGUUGAAAAGAGCCAUAAGAGCCCUGGAUUACUGUAUGUUCUUCAGUUUUUAAUUCAGCUCAGUGGUGGAACAAGUAUUAAUAUCCUUUACUGAAACAAACAUACCAUUAGAAAUAUGUAAAA